rnacentral:rRNA from 1 species
AAUAGUACCCGGGUAGUCCACGCCGUAAACGAUGAGUGCUAAGUGUUAAAGGGUUUCCGCCCUUUAGUGCUGCAGCUAACGCAUUAAGCACUCCGCCUGGGGAGUACGGUCGCAAGACUGAAACUCAAAGGAAUUGACGGGGGCCCGCACAAGCGGUGGAGCAUGUGGUUUAAUUCGAAGCAACGCGAAGAACCUUACCAGGUCUUGACAUCCCACUGACCGGUAUAGAGAUAUACCUUUCCCUUCGGGGACAGUGGUGACAGGUGGUGCAUGGUUGUCGUCAGCUCGUGUCGUGAGAUGUUGGGUCAAGUCCCGCAACGAGCGCAACCCUUGAUCUUAGUUGCCAGCAUUUAGUUGGGCACUCUAAGGUGACUGCCGGUGACAAACCGGAGGAAGGUGGGGAUGACGUCAAAUCAUCAUGCCCCUUAUGACCUGGGCUACACACGUGCUACAAUGGAUGGUACAAAGGGCUGCAAGACUGCGAAGUCAAGCCAAUCCCAUAAAACCAUUCGUCAGUUCCGGAAUUGCAGGCUGA